rnacentral:misc_RNA from 1 species
UUCAAUUCCUCAUGAAGCACAAUAAAUAUUUUCUUCAAUCUUACAUGUCUUGGUCCACAUUUGCGAUAAGAAUCUUUUAACUGUCCCAACAUGUCAGAGAAUCUUUUUGUGUCUCUUCCUUUAGAAACAUCAAGCUCCUUCCCGAGUUUAAUGAACUCAUUCCUGUAGGACUCCAAUAUUUUGUUUAUUGAGCAAUAACUAUCAUACUUUUCCCGAUACUCCUGUACAUACUCUUCAUACUGGGCAAAAUUCUCUAUUGGUCCUUUCAAUUCUGGUUCCUCCUUUUCAUAUUUGGAGUACGAACUCAUCUCAUCAGGAGAAAACUCUUGCAUCCUUUGAUGACCUUCACAGCUCCCCAGCAAAGAAGCAUCCUUAUGCCUAUCAUUGAUUUCGGCAGCCAAACUGGACUUUUG